ACAAAGGAUAGUCCUUAAAUAGUUGACUAGAUGAGGGUAGCACAGGUGAGAGUUAACUAAUGAGACAAAUAAACUAACUGAAAUGAUGAAAUAAACAGAACAGGAACACAACUAUAUAAGGGCAAAAGGGGAAGACACGGGCAGAUCACAAAACAUAGAACACAAAAACAUACACUAAUGUAUAAAUAGCACAGGCAGACUAUGGUAUUUUAUUAUAUUUUAUUUAGCUGCAUUUUGUUAACUAGAAUUUCUAGCUAAUAUCUUUAUUUCAAAAUAAGGACAAAGGUGUUGCUGGGAUGUGGCUAUUUAAAGAAUCCAAACAACCCCCUCCUCCUCCAUCUCCAGAGUUUCACAGACCCUGGAGGUCCUUGGACUGGAAUGAGGAUAAACAAAAAUCUACCUGACAGCCAAUAAACAUGUUUCAAACC